rnacentral:rRNA from 1 species
GACGAACGCUGGCGGCGUGCUUAACACAUGCAAGUCGAGCGGUAAGGCCCCUUCGGGGGUACACGAGCGGCGAACGGGUGAGUAACACGUGAGCAGUCUGCCCAUCACAUCGGGAUAACUCCGGGAAACCGAAGCUAAUACCGAAUACGACCACCUCCGGCAUCGGAUGGUGGUGGAAAGUUCCGGCGGUGAUGGAUGAGCUCGCGGCCUAUCAGCUUGUUGGUGGGGUAACGGCCCACCAAGGCUUCGACGGGUAGCCGGCCUGAGAGGGUGACCGGCCACACUGGGACUGAGACACGGCCCAGACUCCUACGGGAGGCGGCAGUGGGGAAUAUUGGACAAUGGGCGAAAGCCUGAUCCAGCAACGCCGCGUGAGGGAUGACGGCCUUCGGGUUGUAAACCUCUUUCAGCAGGGACGAAGCGCAAGUGACGGUACCUGCAGAAGAAGCACCGGCCAACUACGUG